UUACGGACAUAUCACGUUGAAACACCGGUUCCCGUACGAUGACUGAAGUUAAGCAAUGUCGAGCCUUGUCAUUAUCUAGAGAGGUGACCACUUGUGAAUACCAGAUGCUGUAA